rnacentral:lncRNA from 1 species
CCCGCUCAUAGGUAAAGAGCUACCCCGCUCAAGGUCAAUAGUCCCGCUCAUAGGUAAAGAGCUACCCCGCUCAGUAGGUAGGGUAAAGAGCUAACCCGCUCAUAGGUAAGAGUACGCCCGCUCAUCAAGCGUCAAGAGCUACCCCGCUCGUAGGUAAAGAGCUACCCCGCUCAUAGGUAAAGAGCUACCUCGCUCAAAGGUAAAGAGCUACCCCGCUCAAAUCUCACAGGAGAAGAGCUACCCCGCCCUUCGCCCGACUCACUUCCCAGUCCAAUGGGUGGGGAGCUACCCCGCUCGUAUCCCACCCAAUGAGCUACCCCGCUCGUGUGACAACUGAGGAUACCCUGUCAACUAGGUUAACCAUCACUUGAUAUUCUACCUAUCCCUAGGUCCAUGUCAAGUGUUUCAACCAUAUCAAAUCUCAAUGCCACUCACCUAGGUCUAAGCAACUCUAGGUUCCACAACACUAGGUUUAAUGUCAACCUAUGUUUAACAACAUUAUAUUAAUGCCACUCGAUCUAUCCUAGGUUCACGACACUAGGUUUAGAUGCCACAUAAUCUCCAUAAUUAACAAUAGGUUAACAUUCAUUUCAUCUAGCAUAUAUGUUCUAUAAGGCCAACAUGCAUCAUAAUGCUAAUAUGCCAUAAUCAACUAGCAUGCAAUCCAUUCAUAAUGCUACGUGCAUACAAUCUCCAUUACACUAGUUCACAUGUCACUAGUUUCAUUGUCAAGUCCAAGUUCUUUAUUCUCUUAUCAUCAUAGGAUCUCAUGUCUCAACCUUAAUCAUCAUGCAUUCUAGAUUUAAGUGUCAAGUCUAUAAUACUACACAACUAGACAUGCAUUCAAGGAAAGUAGAAAUGUAACUAUACAUAUAUCCUAUAAUGCAUAAGAACCAUAUAUAUGAAAUAUGAUCAACUAUUUUACUCGGAGAUAGAAGGAAGCCCGAUUGCUUCGGAUAGACACCCCCCACCUUUUUACAGCGUUCCGAUUGCUCGUCGUCACUCGCAAUCGGCCUCCCGCGGCACACGCCGCUCGGCUUGACCCAAUCUGCGCGCGACCACCGAACGACCUCCGAUCCGCGAUCCGAAAAUUAAAGGUCUUCGGUUUCUUGUCACGAUGCUUCAAAUCCGUUUCCACGAUUUUACGACGUCGCCUCGGCCCUCCAGGCGGAAACGAAGUCUAAACGUCCGUUUCUUUAAUAACUUCGCACUGGCUCGACGAAUCGCCGAACCGUCGCUUCCAACGCGUUUAGUGACCUAUCGAUUAGGUUUACGGAGGGUCAAAUUAGAUCAAACCCUCAUAUUUUGAAAAUUAACAUUUUGGAG